rnacentral:rRNA from 1 species
UACGUAGGGUGCGAGCGUUAAUCGGAAUUACUGGGCGUAAAGCGUACGCAGGCGGCUGCGCAAGACAGGUGUGAAAUCCCCGGGCUUAACCUGGGAACUGCAUUUGUGACUGCACGGCUAGAGUGUGUCAGAGGGGGGUAGAAUUCCACGUGUAGCAGUGAAAUGCGUAGAGAUGUGGAGGAAUACCGAUGGCGAAGGCAGCCCCCUGGGAUAACACUGACGCUCAUGCACGAAAGCGUGGGGAGCAAACAGG